rnacentral:rRNA from 1 species
GUGAUUUCUUAGAUCGUUGCAUCCCCUCGGGGAUGUGUGGAUAACUGUGGCAAUUCUAGAGCUAAUACAUGCAAUUAAGCUCCGACCCUCGGGGACGAGCGCACUUAUUAGACCAAGGCCAACCUGUGGGGCAACCUGCAGUUAGCUGUGGUGACUCUGGAUAAGCUCAGUUGUUCGCAUGACCUUCCUAGGGAAGCCUUCGGGGUUCCUUGGGUGUGGCCGGGAAGAAGUUCGAACUAGACUGUCUAGAGGAAGUAAAAGUCGUAACAAGGUUACCGUAGGUGAACCUGCGGAAGGAUCAACUGAGAGACGGCUUACACAUCUAAGGAAGGCAGCAGGCGCGCAAAUUACCCAAUGGGGAAACCCUGAGGUAGUGACAAGAAAUAACAAUACACGACUCUUUCGAGGCCGUGUAAUUGGAAUGAGCACAUUCUAAAUCCUUUAGCGAGGAUCAAUUGGAGGGCAAGUCUGGUGCCAGCAGCCGCGGUAAUUCCAGCUCCAAUAGCGUAUAUUAAAGUUGUUGCAGUUAAAAAGCUCGUAGUUGACAAUCGGCGCUCGUCUCGGCGGUCCUGUUCACGCAGGUACUGCCUUGACGGCGCUUACACAUAGGCUCAUGAUUGUCGGCAUCUGGCAACGGGUGUCGGCGGUCAUAGCCC